CGUGUGUGUGUGUAUGUGUGUGUGCGCGCGCGUUAUUCCGUCGGGUGGUGGUACCGACCGUUCGACUCGGCGGACGGGCACGCGGGGUACGGGUACGCGCACACACACACACACACACACACACACA